AUCUCAAGUCAUGUGAGAGUACCCGCUGAACUUAAGCAUAUCAAUAAGCGGAGGAAAAGAAACUAACAAGGAUUCCCCUAGUAACGGCGAGUGAAGCGGGAAGAGCACAAAUUUAAAAUCUACCUGGUUUUCAGGUCGAGUUGUAAUUUGAAGAUACGUUUUUGACGUUCAGGGUUGGACUAAAUCCUUUGGGAUAAGGUAUCAUGGAGGGUGAGAAUCCCGUAUAUACCAACCAUAGGGAUGUUAUUUAAUACGUUUNUAAGAGUCGAGUUGUUUGGGAAUGCAGCUCUAAAUGGGUGGUAAAUUUCACCUAAUGCUAAAUAUAAGCGAGAGACCGAUAGCGAACAAGUACAGUGAUGGAAAGAUGAAAAGAACUUUGAAAAGAGAGUUAAAUAGUACGUGAAAUUGUUGAAAGGGAAACGAUUGAAGUCAGUCAUGCCGGUGGGAAUCAACUUAGGGGAAACUCUAAGUGCACUUCUUCGCUUGGCAGGUCAACGUCGAUUUUGGAUGUCAUAAAAUGAUUGGGGGAAGGUAGCUCCUUAGGGAGUGUUAUAGCCCUUGGUAGAUGUGAUGUCUGGGAUCGAGGAUUGCAAUGGAUACCCUUUGGGGCUAGCUGCCUGAUCUCUAAUUGGUAUUGGGUUACGGAUAGCAUGCUGACCGUGAUCUAAUUAUUGGUUAAAAGGUUAGAGCGUGCAUAAAUUCAUUAAGGACGUUGACGUAAUGGCUUUAAASGACCCGUCUUGAAACACGGACCAAGGAGUCUAACAUGUAUGCGAGUGUU
rnacentral:rRNA from 1 species